CAGGGAUUGCCCUAGUAACGGCGAGUGAAGCGGCAACAGCUCAAAUUUGAAAUCUGGCGCAAGCCCGAGUUGUAAUUUGUAGAGGAUGCUUCUGGGUAGCGACCGAUCUAAGUUCCUUGGAACAGGACGUCAUAGAGGGUGAGAAUCCCGUAUGUGACCGGCCCGCACCCUUUACGUAGCUCCUUCGACGAGUCGAGUUGUUUGGGAAUGCAGCUCUAAAUGGGAGGUAAAUUUCUUCUAAAGCUAAAUACCGGCCAGAGACCGAUAGCGCACAAGUAGAGUGAUCGAAAGAUGAAAAGUACUUUGGAAAGAGAGUUAAAAAGCACGUGAAAUUGUUGAAAGGGAAGCGCCUGCAACCAGACUUCGCGGCAGUGUUCCGCCGGUCUUCUGACCGGUUCAUUCUCUGUCGCGAGGCCAUCAUCGUCUGGGCCCGCCGGAUAAGACCUUAGGAAUGUAGCUCACCUUCGGGGGAGUGUUAUAGCCUAGGGUGAUGCGGCGAGGCUCGGGCGAGGUCCGCGCUUCGGCAAGGAUGAUGGCGUAAUGGUUGUCGGCGGCCCGUCUUGAAACACGGACCAAGGAGUCUAACAUCUAUGCGAGUGUUCGGGUGUCAAACCCCUACGCGUAAUGAAAGUGAACGGAGGUGGGAACCGCAAGGUGCACCAUCGACCGAUCCUGAUGUCCUCGGAUGGAUUUGAGUAAGAGCAUAGCUGUUGGGACCCGAAAGAUGGUGAACUAUGCCUGAAUAGGGUGAAGCCAGAGGAAACUCUGGUGGAGGCUCGCAGCGGUUCUGACGUGCAAAUCGAUCGUCAAAUUUGGGUAUAGGGGCGAAAG
rnacentral:rRNA from 1 species